UACGAAGGGGGCUAGCGUUGCUCGGAAUUACUGGGCGUAAAGGGCGCGUAGGCGGAUAUUUAAGUUGGGGGUGAAAUCCCGGGGCUCAACCUCGGAAUUGCCUUCAAAACUGGAUAUCUUGAGUUCGGGAGAGGUGAGUGGAAUUCCCGGUGUAGCGGUGAAAUGCGCAGAUAUCGGGAAGAACACCCGUGGCGAAGGCGGCUCUCUGGGACGGUACUGACGCUGAGACGCGAAAGCGUGGGGAGCGAACAGG
rnacentral:rRNA from 1 species